AAAAAUUUGUUUAAAAAAUCGCGUAUUCAAAGUGUAUCCUAUUUUGUACUUCGCUUCAAAUGUCGUCCACAAGAAUGAAUUCUCGUUGGCGAAAUGAACUCCAGCAUUUAUGAUUAUGGUAUAUUGUGUAUAGGCAUGCUCUUUCAAUCCUUCCGAGUUUUGUUCAAAUCGAAAAUUGUAAGUCUGAAAGGCUUCUCGUUAGAAAAAGUUUCGAUGAAUUCUUAAUAUUAGGUACCUAUGUAAAACUUUUGAACAUUGAAAAAAUGAUCAAUUUUUGACAUUUAAAAAUUAGGUAUGCUUAUCAGAUUUUCAAAAACUGAAAAAUAACAUUUGCAUCCAUUCAUACUUUGAACUUGAUCGAAGUGGACUUCCGACUUUGAAUACCAAAUCUAUUGGGGUAGGUCAAAUUUUAUACUGAAAUCAAUACGUACUUACGGUCAAUGAACUGACAUUGAACUUGAAAAAAAAUAGAUAGGCAAGUACAUACCUACUCGUAGUAAAAAUUACGUGAGCUGGGUCUACGAAAAAUUAGCCAAUCGUUUGUCUGAAAACAAUUUUGUUCGUUCUAAACAUUGUACAGAGGCCAAAAAAAAAUCUAUAAUAACACCAUUAACUAGUUACAACCUUGAAGGCAGCUGCGAUUAACAACCCUGAACCCCUAACAUUGGCGACCUGUCGACGCCAAAUAUCGAACUACUACUGCCCAUAUCAUGCUUUAUACGUAACAAAACUGUGUUUAUAUGAAAUUCGGCUGUACUCGGUCGUACAUAUAAGAGCAACAUGAAGUCGUUUUAUCUUCAUCACAGAAAAGAAUCAGUUCAAUUUAUUUCCAAUGUGUAUGAAAUGAAAUAAUUUAAAAUGUUAAUUUGCUUCUUGUUUCUAAAUUUUUCAACUGUGACAGAGAAAACCUGCCUAUUCUGUUGAUGGAAUGUUAUACUCGUAAUGACUCUUGUUUCUGUUCAGAAAUCCAUACUUAUCUCAAGCUUCAUCUGCCUAUUCUGUUGAUGGAAUGUUAUACUUAUACGCUCCUUGCCAAUUUGUAUUGAAGACAGAUCUACAAAGGAAACCGGAUUAUUGAUGGGGGUGUUGAAAUUCAUUAUCCUAACAUGGCUGACAAGCUUCAUCAUACCUGCAGCAUAUUGCCAAAUGGGAAAUUCUAGCUCAGAAUUGAUUUGCAACAUCACAAUUUAUCAAGAAGAUAAAACUAAUCCUGGAACUGUAUUAAACGUAUGGCAAUCAAAAAUGAUAGACAGUUGUCCUGAGAAUUACACAAAUCAAGAUAUUAUUACAGGUUGUGAACGUUUAAUAAAUUUCGAGAACUCUGAUCCGGACGUAUACAUUCCGAUAACAAACGACAUCACUAAGAUAACCUUCACAAAUAAAUAUUGUGGGUAUUGUAAUAACGAAAAUGAAACCAAUUGGAAGUCGAUUCAGUGGUAUAGUAAUUGGGAUACGUUUAAAUUUAAGGAAACCCCGUGCAAAAACUAUACAUCAAAAAUAAAAUCAUCAGACGUGAAUGACCUUGACAAAUGGACACAGACUUUCAUUAGUAACGGGCUGAUACUGGAAAUGACCUAUUAUGGCAGAAAGAUGCAGUGCUCAGGAAAAAAGAAAUGGCCAAUAAAGUUGUUAUUCUGGGUGAUACCUUGUUUAAUGGAAAAUUAUAUAUAUGGUCAAUACAACAGAUUGAGUUCGUGCCAAUAUUUAGAGAAAAAUGGCAGGAGUUGUAUUGAGAUGGAAUUCCUCAUCGAUGGUUCCUAUCACGAAUAUAAAUCGAUGGAUUACUUUCGUUUAUCACAAAUAAAUCUUACUGGAGGUGAUUAUUUAGUCCAAACUGCCAAUGAAGAUCUAUUCUAUAUGUGUAAACAAAUUUACGAGGCUGAAUAUUGGAGUAAACUUUUACGCGUCUUUAUUUCUAUAGCAUUUCUAUCAAUUUAUUUAAUCGUGAAUUUUAAUAAACAGUAUUUUGAAAUUUUCUCAAACCAACUUUUAUAUAUUUACUCGAUAGUAUUGAUAAUAAUGAGUGUGCUGCUCACCUACAUCUAUCUGAAAUUCCCAGUCUUGUAUGUUUCCUUCUAUCUGGCUAAAAUUUUCUGGGUUUAUCACUUUUUGUGGACGACGUUAAUUCUCAUUUUGUUUUGUCAUAUAGCUUUCUGCAUGUGCAACCGAUGCGAAAGUGUAACCGAAGGGAAUACAAAUAGAUACUAUUCGUCAUUUAUUUUCGUUUUUGGCCUCUUAUUACCUAUAUCCUUACCCAUAAUGUAUCUCAUCUUCUUAGAAGCCGAUGAAAAUCAGUGUCCUUCAAUUCCUGGUCAUUUGGCUGUGCCAGACGUACCUAAUGAAAGUUUACGGUUUUUGAAAUUCAUCUUAGAGCCGAACUUGUCUUUCUUUAUGCCUACAGUAUUUAUUGCGGGAAUAUUCUUCGUACUGAUUGAUAUGCCUCGUGAUUCUGAUGUUACGAGAUCGGUUACUGUAUUAAAAAUGCAAUUGAUUGUGUGUAUUCAUUGGGUACUGUAUAAAUUUUUUUCAGAGUAUUAUGGGAAUAAAAAUUCGUUCACUAUUGUUGGUCUAUCUCUAAAUAUGGAUAUAAUCGCACAGUGGAGUAUUGAUAUUCACGGUAUUAUUAUUUUUUUUGUUUUAUUAAAUGGAAGUAGCAUGGUUAAUUGUAUUUUGAACAAGUGCGGAUGUAAAUGGGGAAAUACUGUUCAGAAGGAUAGUCACGGUGCAGCAGAGACCAGUGUGUAAUAAUUUCAGUCUUGAAGGUUUCAAAUUUCAGGGGCAUAUUUUAUGUAGGUAUUGUAUUAUUACUACAUUUUAUUUUAAAUAAAAAUGCCAUAUUUACUAUGAGGAAGAAGCUAAAAAUUAGGCAAAAUUUUAUAAUUUUACAAACUUUGAGAAAUUUUUUGGACUUGGAAGCAAAUUGUGCAAUUUUGAAACCAAAAUUUAAACUUUGAUCAAAAUUGUCUCUUUAAAAGUAAUAUGUAUUUUUUGUGAUCAAAAAUGUGAUUUUCUGAAAUAAUAAACAUGGUUGAUUAUAUAACGAACUUAUGAAAUUUUUGGUCCAUUUUGAAAAAAUUAAAACCCCAAAUGAGCUUCAAUUUUUCGUUUUAACGACCGAAUUUUUUAUUAAAGGAGACCUCAGGGAUUCUCAUACUCUCGUGAAAAGACGUGUUCAAAAUCAGUGACCAAGUCAUCGAGAGUUUCACUCGAGGGCAAAUUUUUUACCACGAACUGAAGAAUUUUUAUUCGCAUUUUCAGGUCAAAUUUCAAUUUUUUACUGUUUUUUUUUUCUUUCUUAAAUUACUUAUAUUUUAUUUUCAAUUUUGUCAUGUAAUAAUUUAAUGUUUAUGCAUUUAUACGUACAUGGAGAAAAAUAAUAAUUCAGAAAGAUGUAUUCUGUGAUUUCGGGGGGGGGGAGAUGGGUUAUUGAUUAUCUUAAUGAUAGAAUAACAUUAAAUAACAUGAAUAAUGAGAAUUGAGAAUUUGAGGAUUACUAUAGGUUGGUAUAGUUCUAAAUAUGAAUGAAAAAUUCCAAGAUUUUAUGUGUCUAGAAAGAAUUUUUGAAUUCAAAUAGAUUUCCAAGCUUCGAUCGUAGUUUCUUAAAUGGUGAGUUUUAAAAAUAAUGACUACAUAAUGUACCUAAGAGCCUUCUUUUAGGUAUUUUUGUAUCAAGAUACUCUGCAUUUACCUAAAGAGUGACAUUUUUUUUGUAUCUAGGUAUAUACUUGAGUAUUUAUUUACUGAUUUUUGUGUGUUUUUGAUUUACAUGUGUGUUAUUGUUAUUUUCUAUAGAAUACUUUUAGAAAAAAUUACCCAAUAAUUGGGUACUUAGGUAUAAUUUGUAAACUAAUAAUAUAAAAAAAACUUCAAGAUUUAAUGUACUUAACUCAGGGAAAAUUUUGAAUUCAGAACUUUCUAAAAUAAUCAUUAUGCGAUUCGAGAGCUUUUUUCCAGGCUUGAAGAUUAAAAUGAUGAUUGAUGAUGUAUGUAUUUAUUUUUUUAAAGACGCUUUGCAUUUACAUGGUGAUAUUAUUUUUAUACCUAUUUACUUAUGUAUUUUUGUGUGCAUUAUUAAAUUCAAGUACAUAAAUUACUUAGUUAUCUACUUUUUUUAAUGGAAUUUUUUGUCAGACAUUUUUAUAAUU